GUGCCGAAUUCUGCACCCCCGCCGUAAAAUGCACCCCCUGUCGGGAGCGCGCUUACGUCACUCGGUUGCAUCACCCGUCUCGAAAAGUAGCUAAACUCGGCUAAAAUCGCCUCUUUCGGCAUAAAAAUGUACAUAACAAGGUGAAUAAUCCAAGUUGUCUUUACUUUGGAUAUAUUAAUGGAUGGAUUAAUUGUGAUUCUUUAAUGAUUUCGCCGCCAUUGCCUUUAAUGAUUUCGUCGUCAUUCAAUCGCCUCUUUCGGCAGAAAAAUGUACAUAACAAGGUGAAUAAUCCAAGUUGUCUUUACUUUGGAUAUAUUAAUGGAUGGAUUAAUUGUGAUUCUUCAAUGAUUUCGCCGUCAUUGCCUUUAAUGAUUUCGUCGUCAUUCAGAGACAUCAAGGAGAACGAAUGUUUGCUGCUUCACUCGACGGGAUCCAAUACAUGUAUUUUAAAAAUAUGACAUUUUCUUUAACUGUAAGAAGCUCAUGGGUGGAUGGAUGAAUACAUUAAUAAAUGAAUGCAUCUGA